rnacentral:rRNA from 1 species
GAUGAACGCUGGCGGCGUGCCUAAUACAUGCAAGUCGAACGCAGUGGGGACGGGUGAGUAACAUGUGGGUAACCUACCAUAAGAGGGGAUCACACUUGGAAACAGGUGCUAAACCGAUACUGAUGGAUGGACUCGCGGGGCAUUAGCCAGUGGGUGAGGUAACGGCUCACCAAGGCAACGAUGCAGAGCCGGUCUGAGAGGGUGAUCAGCCAGACUGGGACUGAGACACGGCCCAGACUCCUACGGGAGGCAGCAGUAGGGAAUCUUCGGCAAUGGACGAAAGUCUGACCGAGCAACGCCGCGUGAGUGAAGAAGGUUUUCGGAUCGUAAAACUCUUUUGUUAGAGAGGCGGUAUCUAACCAGAAAGCCACGGCUAACUACGUGCCAGCAGCCGCGGUAAUAC